rnacentral:rRNA from 1 species
CCUACGGGUGGCAGCAGUGGGGGAUAUUGCACAAUGGGGGAAACCCUGAUGCAGCGACGCCGCGUGUGGGAAGACGGUCUUCUGGAUUGUAAACCACUGUCCCCAGGGACGAAAAUGACGGUACCUGGGGAGGAAGCUCCGGCUAACUACGUGCCAGCAGCCGCGGUAAUACGUAGGGAGCAAGCGUUGUCCGGAAUUACUGGGUGUAAAGGGAGCGUAGGCGGGGAUGCAAGUUGGGUGUCAAAACUACCGGCUCAACCGAUAGUCGCACUCAAAACUGCAACUCUUGAGUGAAGUAGAGGCAGGCGGAAUGCCUAGUGUAGCGGUGAAAUGCGUAGAUAUUAGGAGGAACACCAGUGGCGAAGGCGGCCUGCUGGGCUUUUACUGACGCUGAGGCUCGAAAGUGUGGGGAGCAAACAGGAUUAGAUACCCCUGUACUC